rnacentral:rRNA from 1 species
CAUGCAGUCGAGCGGUAACAUUUCAAAAGCUUGCUUUUGAAGAUGACGAGCGGCGGACGGGUGAGUAAUGCCUGGGAAUUUGCCCAUUUGUGGGGGAUAACAGUUGGAAACGACUGCUAAUACCGCAUACGCCCUACGGGGGAAAGCAGGGGACCUUCGGGCCUUGCGCUGAUGGAUAAGCCCAGGUGGGAUUAGCUAGUAGGUGAGGUAAAGGCUCACCUAGGCGACGAUCCCUAGCUGGUCUGAGAGGAUGAUCAGCCACACUGGGACUGAGACACGGCCCAGACUCCUACGGGAGGCAGCAGUGGGGAAUAUUGCACAAUGGGGGAAACCCUGAUGCAGCCAUGCCGCGUGUGUGAAGAAGGCCUUCGGGUUGUAAAGCACUUUCAGCGAGGAGGAAAGGGUGUAAGUUAAUACCUUACAUCUGUGACGUUACUCGCAGAAGAAGCACCGGCUAACUCCGUGCCAGCAGCCGCGGUAAUACGGAGGGUGCGAGCGUUAAUCGGAAUUACUGGGCGUAAAGCGUGCGCAGGCGGUUUGUUAAGCGAGAUGUGAAAGCCCCGGGCUCAACCUGGGAACCGCAUUUCGAACUGGCAAACUAGAGUCUUGUAGAGG